rnacentral:rRNA from 1 species
AUUGAACGCUGGCGGCAGGCUUAACACAUGCAAGUCGAGCGGGGUGAUGGUGCUUGCACUAUCACUUAGCGGCGGACGGGUGAGUAAUGCUUAGGAAUCUGCCUAUUAGUGGGGGACAACAUCUCGAAAGGGAUGCUAAUACCGCAUACGUCCUAAGGGAGAAAGCAGGGGAUCACUUGUGACCUUGCGCUAGUAGAUGAGCCUAAGUCGGAUUAGCCAGUUGGUGGGGUAAAGGGCUACCAAGGGGACGAUCUGUAGCGGGUCUGAGAGGAUUAUCCGCCACACUGGGACUGAGACACGGCCCAGACUCCUACGGGAGGCAGAAGUGGGGAAUAUUGGACAAUGGGGGGAACCCUGAUCCAGCCAUGCCGCGUGUGUGAAGAAGGCCUUAUGGUUGUAAAGCACUUUAAGCGAGGAGGAGGCUCUUUUGGUUAAUACCCAAGAUGAGUGGACGUUACUCGCAGAAUAAGCACCGGCUAACUCUGUGCCAGCAGCCGCCGUAA